UACGAGGGGGGCGAGCGUUGUUCGGAAUUAUUGGGCGUAAAGGGCGCGUAGGCGGUCGGAUAAGUCUUGUGUGAAAUCUUCGGGCUCAACUCGAAGUCUGCACAGGAAACUAUCUGGCUUGAGUAUGGGAGAGGUGAGUGGAAUUCCUGGUGUAGCGGUGAAAUGCGUAGAUAUCAGGAGGAACACCUGUGGCGAAAGCGGCUCACUGGACCAUAACUGACGCUGAUGCACGAAAGCUAGGGGAGCAAACAGG
rnacentral:rRNA from 1 species